UUGAAAGGGAAACGAUUGAAGUCAGUCGUACCAGCGGGAAUCAACCUUUCGAGUGGAGGUUUGGAGUUUUGAAGAGUUUCAAAACCUUUGAGAUUUCAAAAAUUUCGCUCUUUUGGUGUACUUUCUCGUGGGUAGGUUAACAUCGAUUUUGAUCAUCAUAAAAAGACUGGAGGAAUGUAGCUUCGAUCUUGUAUUGAAGUGUUAUAGCCUUUGGUAAAUGUGAUGAUUAGGAUCGAGGAUUGCAACGAAUACCCUUCUGGGCUAGUCACCUACCUUCUGACGGUUACCCUGCUUUCGAUAGCUUGCUAACGAUUGUGGGAUUUAACAGUCUAGAUGUUGGAGUGAUCUUAUAUUCGUUAAGGAUGUUGACGUA
rnacentral:rRNA from 1 species